UUACUGAUGAAACACGCAUGAGAAUCGCAGACGAUUAUUUAGCACAGCCCUACUCUCCUACGUAUACACACACACUCACUCACUCUCUCUCACUCUCCCCCCUCUCUCUGUUUGUCCCUCUUUCAGUUUGUUUUGCCUAUUUCUCUUUGCAUUCUUUCUUUUCAUCAAUAUGGCAUCUUCAGGUUUUGACCAGUUAUGCCAGGAAGCUGCAACUAUUUCAAAGCAUCUUGAAAUGAAAGCUGGCAAUGCUGAAUUUGGAGCAGCUACCAGAGAGGCUGAAGAAAUUCUACAAAUGUUCAAUCCUCCACUGAAGACCAAACGAGCGAUUUCCUGGACUUAACAGACACAUUGAACUUUGCACUGCAUUUCAAAGAGGAUGCCGGAGGUACUGGAAGGCUCCCCUGGUAAAUCAAGGCAUGACAGUUAAAGUUGCAGGACUGCCCAACAGCCUUACUUUCAAAAAGCCAUCCUAUUGUGGAAGGAAGCAAUUGGAGGCCAUUUUGCAAGCUGCUGAGAUGAUUUCAUUUGAAAUCAAUGCAGCACAAUGCAACUCCACUGACAAAGCAGAAGGAAUGUCAUAGGCGAUGGACGCAGAAGAGCUGGAAGAAAAGUCCUCAGAAACAGCCACUACUGUAGCUACCGUGAUGACUGCAGAUUAAGAUGGAGGAAAUUUGUGCUGUGUCUGCCGCGUCCUUUCGAUGACAGGAAGAAGAAUGCUUCAAAGAAGUGGCGUUCAUGGUCACAGUGCACAGUGUCACAAUCAUGGUCACACACUGCAUGUGGUUUUAAAAAAACAUGUGCCUUAAAUGCCAGUGUCAAGACACAAUGCAAACAGCCUGUAGCGCUGCAUCAUAGGAAACAUGCUAGUUACACAAGAUGUUUUAUGUUUUAACUUUGAGCUGUUUUUACUUUGUUCAUGACCCACACACACACACACACAUUUUUUUAUGUAUUAGGUGCCAUUUAAUCUUUU